GACAGAGGGUGCAAACGUUGUUCGGAAUUACUGGGCGUAAAGCGUGUGUAGGCGGCUUUGCAAGUCGGAUGUGAAAGCCCCGGGCUCAACCCGGGAAGUGCACUCGAUACUGCGGAGCUUGAGUGUCGGAGAGGUUGGUGGAAUUCUCGGUGUAGAGGUGAAAUUCGUAGAUAUUCGGAAGAACACCAGUGGCGAAGGCGGCUCACUGGACCGGCAUUGACGCUGAGGUGCGAAAGCGUGGGGAGCAAACAGG
rnacentral:rRNA from 1 species